UAGGGAAUCUUCGGCAAUGGACGGAAGUCUGACCGAGCAACGCCGCGUGAGUGAAGAAGGUUUUUGGAUCGUAAAGCUCUGUUGUUAGAGAAGAACGUUGGUAGGAGUGGAAAAUCUACCAAGUGACGGUAACUAACCAGAAAGGGACGGCUAACUACGUGCCAGCAGCCGCGGUAAUACGUAGGUCCCGAGCGUUGUCCGGAUUUAUUGGGCGUAAAGCGAGCGCAGGCGGUUCUUUAAGUCUGAAGUUAAAGGCAGUGGCUUAACCAUUGUACGCUUUGGAAACUGGAGGACUUGAGUGCAGAAGGGGAGAGUGGAAUUCCAUGUGUAGCGGUGAAAUGCGUAGAUAUAUGGAGGAACACCGGUGGCGAAAGCGGCUCUCUGGUCUGUAACUGACGCUGAGGCUCAAAAACGUGGGGAGCAAACAGG
rnacentral:rRNA from 1 species